ACGUAGGGGGCAAGCGUUGUCCGGAAUCACUGGGCGUAAAGCGCGCGCAGGCGGUCAUCUACGUCUGGGGUGAAAGCCCUGGGCUCAACCUGGGAAUGGCAUUGGAUACUGGCGACCUAGAGUGCGGUAGAGGGUAGCGGAAUUCCCGGUGUAGCAGUGAAAUGCGUAGAUAUCGGGAGGAACAUCCGUGGCGAAGGCGGCUACCUGGACCAGCACUGACACUGAGGCACGAAAGCGUGGGGAGCAAACAGGA
rnacentral:rRNA from 1 species